rnacentral:lncRNA from 1 species
UUUUUUUCUAAUUGAUUUUUUGUUCUGAGAUUUUUUUUCCAUGCCAUUUUUUCCGACCAUACUUGAAAACAAUUUCGGUUUCUAACAACAGGAGCCAUAUUUGACCCAAAGAUAUCUGCGACUCUAAUUGUACAUCAUUAUAUAGGCCUAGAGAGCAACCGGGAUCCCUCAGAGGCAUGCUGCCACACGUGCUUUCUGUGACGGGACCGUUCAGGUGUUUUUCUACAGCGUUGUGAAGAAACACUUCUUUAGAUCCUCCUCGAUGUCGAAUGUUUCACUGAUUGAUGAUGUGAUGACAAGGUGUGGAAUUCAACAUGAAGGAUUAACUGGAUGGAUCGCUUCGAGUCGUGCAAACAUGAAAGACAUGGCUCCUACAGUGGCAGCCGUCCUUGCAAGUCUGCCUCAGUCAUCAUAGUAGUUCCCUAUUCUAUCAAGAAGUACUCGAGAAGCCAUGCCUCGGUUGGGUAUUUGGUUGCUCUCGUUUUGGCAUUGUCCUUUUUUGUUGUGCUUGUGAGUGUGGUGGCCUAUUGAUUGUGCAACAUCUUAUUUUCAACACUCUGUUUUACUUUGAUCAAUUAUUAGACUUUUAUACUUAUUUAUAACUUUUUCGUAAUACAUCAUAUUAAAUAAUUUUUUGUAAUAUGAUAAUGAUAAUUAAUCAGAUCACAAUGUUGCUAAAAUAUUAGUAAUAAUAUUAUUUAUAAUAUUGUUGUAAUAUCUAUCAUUAAAAAAUACAUGUGCACUGCACUAAAUUUAAGUCAUAUUUG